AUUUGAUGGCUGAAAUACUUGGCAUCCUUUGAGUUCAACCCAUGAUAAAAGGUAGUUCAAAGAGGUCUUGUUAUUGGGCCAAUUACCUGGUUUCAGACGUGUUCGCAACACAUUAGUAGGACGAAUGUGAAUUAAAAUCCACUGUUGGAUGAUUCUGAGGUCGUUCAGCCUGUGGAAUGCUUCCAGUGGUUUUUCCAGCUUUUUCAUACAUAUUUGGACCGCGACCCUAAGAAUUUGAGACACUUGUUUGCUGUUCUUGGAAGGUAACCAGCUCCUGAGGGACUUAGUAAAGUCAGUUCCACCCUAUAAAGAUCGGAUCAUUUUUCGCGCGAACCAGCUUCUCCACCUCUCCUCUGCAACGCGAAUGAACGCGCAACUUCCACGCGACUGAACGAUCCGCGCGAGCGCCUCAGUCUUUCGACCACGGUUUGCGUAAAACUGACCGGGGUGACGUUGGUGUUCUCUUAAAGAUUUGACAGAUUUGUUUUGAAAAAUAAGCGAAUACGCCGGAUGGACUUGUCUUUAACAUGCACUCGAACAGGAAACUUCUUGCAAGUAAAGUAAUUUUUGAACUCUUCAAUGUACGAAGUACAAGCACCUACGCGUAUGCAUAUUGUCGAACUGAGGUUCAAAGACCUAGAAGAAUUCAACAAUUAUUAUUUCAAACAGACAGCAGACUCUUAGUCCCAUGUGAAACUCCAUCUUUUGUGAGUUAGCUAUCGAGGGGAAGAUUCUUAUUACUAAUAACUUCUGAAUAUCCACCUGUAUUUUCGUGUAAAUGUAG